UACAGAGGUGGCAAGCGUUGUCCGGAAUUACUGGGCGUAAAGGGCGCGUAGGUGGCCUUCUUAGUCAGACGUGAAAUCCCCAGGCUUAACCUGGGGGCUGCGCUUGAUACGGCGGAACUAGAGGAUGGAAGAGGCUCGUGGAAUUCCCGGUGUAGUGGUGGAAUGCGUAGAUAUCGGGAGGAACACCAGUGGCGAAGGCGGUUGCCUGGAGCUUUGCUGACGCUGAGGCGCGAAAGCGUGGGGAGCGAUCCGG
rnacentral:rRNA from 1 species